CCUACGGGAGGCAGCAGUGAGGAAUAUUGGUCAAUGGGCGCGAGCCUGAACCAGCCAUGUCGCGUGCAGGAUGACUGCCCUAUGGGUUGUAAACUUCUUUUAUAAAGGAGUAAAGUUGAGUACGUGUAUCCUGUUGUAUGUACUGUAUGAAUAAGGAUCGGCUAACUCCGUGCCAGCAGCCGCGGUAAUACGGAGGAUCCGAGCGUUAUCCGGAUUUAUUGGGUUUAAAGGGUGCGUAGGUGGGUUCAUAAGUUAGUGGUGAAAUGUUGGGGCUCAACUCUAGAAUUGCCAUUGAUACUGGCAGUCUUGAGUAUAGAUGCGGUAGGCGGAAUGCGUGGUGUAGCGGUGAAAUGCUUAGAGAUCACGCAGAACUCCGAUUGCGAAGGCAGCUUACCAAUCUACAACUGACGUUGAGGCACGAAAGCGUGGGGAGCAAACAGGAUUAGAUACCCGAGUAGUC
rnacentral:rRNA from 1 species